GCCAGAGCAGAGUAGCGAGACACCAGAGCAGAGAGCGAGUCGGCAGAGUAGAGUAGCGAGACGCCAGAACAGCGGCGAUCCGGAUAGAAGAGGCUAGGACUGACCUUGCAUUUUGCUUUCAAAUCUCUUCCUUGUGUCAGUCGAUUUCGAGAAGAUGAUAGUGAACCUGAGGCUGGCUCUCGCCUAGGGAUGUCAAUGCAGCCCGAAACCCGUGGGCCGACCCGAAUAACCCGACAAAAUUAGAGGGUUAGGGUUGAAAAAUCGCAACCCGAAAAUACCUCCAACCCGAUUAGCCCGCACCCGACUAACCCGGAACCCGAUAAGGCUAGCCCGAAAACCCAAUGGGCUGGCCCGGUGGGCUGACGGAAUUGUGACUGAUGCAUCCAGUUACAACUUCUGCUAUGUUUAGAUCUAUGGUAUUUGCUUAAAUAUAUAUAUGUAGCCUCAAUUAAAAAAGUGAAAUUAAUUAGUUAUAUAUAUGUGUGUGUGUGUGCAAUCUCAUUAAAAAAGUGAAAUUAAUUAGGGAUAUUUUGUAGAAAUUGAUUAUUAGUAUCUCAUUAGUUAGAAAUUAAUUAUUAGUAUCUCAUUUUAAAGUGAUACCAUUUUUUUUCUGUCAAUGAGACGUGCAUGGCAAAUCCACUAAUUAUUCAGUAAUAAUCCAAAUUGAUUCUAGUGCAUUGAUACAUGUUAAAUUUUACUAUCUCAUUUUAAUAUAAUUUUGUUUAUGUAAUCUUGAAUAUCUUAUAUUUUUACAUUUCAUGCUUUGUCAUAUAAUUUAUAUCUUUAAUAUCUAUGUAUAUUUUAUACAUUAUACAUUAGAUCAUUAGGAAUAAUAAAAUACAAAUGAUAAUUUUAUUUUUACGCCUUUAACCUGAUUAGCCCGAUGGGCUAGCCCGAAACCCGAAAGUUUAGGGUUAGGGUUGAAGAUUUACAACCCGAAAAAAUCUUCAACCCGAUUAGCCCGCACCCGACUAACCCGGAACCCGAUAGGGCUAGCCCGAAAAUCCGGUGGGCUGGCCCGAUUGACAUCCCUACUCUCGCCGGAUUUAUAGAGGCCGCGACGGCCACCGCCGGAGUACCGAAUGGGUGGCGUCAACAGCGGCAUCGUGGAGGGAAAUUAGGGCUCGAUUUGGGGCUCUGCUUGUACAGCGGUGAAGAGAGAGUUUAGGGCGAGGAGGCGGCGUGGUCAACAGAUGAACGCCGGCCACGCCGGCAGCUGGAACGGCCGGAGAAGGAAGCGGCGGCGGCAGACGUCUCGACUGGAGGCAGGCCGAGAGUCGAGAGAGAUUGGAGAGGGCAGCGACGUGUUUGAACUAGAGA
rnacentral:lncRNA from 1 species